AGGCUACUUACGGGCCGGAACCAAAGCCUCGUGGACGGCAUUGCGAUUUUGGGGCGACGUGGCUGGGCCUUUAGUCCCGGCCCAGAUGGAGGCCAGGACUAAAGGGUCGAGGCCAAAGGCCCGUUUUCCACUAGUGUGAUGUAGCAUUUCAACUGGUUUUACAUCAUCUAUUGGGGUACUAGCUUUUCAUCAUCUAUUAUACAUCGUGUGUUGAAGUUUGCCCUUUUUGUGAUGUAAAUUCUACAUCAAGCCCUUUAUGUGAUAUAAAAUACACCAUCUAUUAAAGAUUUUCUUAAUAUGGAUGUACGAGAUAGAGAGUACACAUGCUAGGCCACAAGGUCAUUUGCUACACCAAGUGAGACAAAUGAAACAUGUUAGCAAAGUGGUCAUACGAUCAUAGUCCUAGUCUCCUAGAUGAUAUUACACAUCGGUUGCCUGCUAUGUCACGUGACAUCCCACGGGCCGACGUCCUUUCAGGCUUUAGAGUUCCAAACACUUGGAGAGGGACCUUAAAAGUGAGCAUCACACAUCACAACUGAAUUCUGAUAAUAAAUAAGAAGGACCUUCCUUUCCAUGCCGUAGGGAGCUCACUAACCAGACCUCGACAGUAAAGAUUAGAAAUAUGGUGACAUGGUUACAAUAGACCAUAAUAACAUAUUAAUAUUCGGUAGGAAAGAGAAGCAGAGGGAAGGGAUCUCCGUUCAAGCUUGAAGCUCAUCACAAGGCCAACCACAUGUGUUGCUAGAACGAAGACAUAUUACCUAGUGGAACAACAUGAAUAUGUGGACAGCAUAGCAAAGAAAUCAACUUAUCUCCGUCAACCUUCACUGUAUCUUCUCCACAGAUGGAGCGUGCAAACCUAACUGGCAUCUUAUGGACCGAUGAAACUAGGGCCCGGUGACCUUUGGGUGCCAUCUUUCCAUCUGCAAGAGUUGCCAGGUACGUGUUGUCAUCAUGGGUCUGGUAAUGAUGUCAUCAUGGGUCACAUUGGGUGGUUGGCCUAGGCAAAAUCACCAUUAACCCAUGAUGGUCGGUAAAAGUUUGCCUUUAUGGACAUUCGACCUUCUAAUUUAUGUAAAUUGAUCUUUUGAUUUGUUGAAUUAAUUGGUAUUUGGGUGUUGUUCAUAAUUGUUGGGUCCUCAGUGAGCUCAGAUUAAAAAAAGUAUGUUGUACGUGCUUUCUUGGAGCCUCAGUGAGCUCAGAUCCGCAAUUCUUGUUCAUGCUUCUUGGAUCAAAACAUUAUAUUCAUGUUGGUUGGAUCUGAAAUUCUUAUUCAUGCUUCUUUUAUCCAAAACAUUCUUUUUAUUGUUUGUUGGAUCCAAAAUUCUUGUUCAUGUGUGCUCUUGGAUGCGAAAAUGAUUGCAGGUUAAUACAAAAUAAUUUACAAUGAAAAUUGGCUCCAGUUUCAUGCAAUGUGGAAUUUAGAUGACAAGAUCUAUUAGAAAAUGGGAAAUCUAUGGCGCGAACGACGCUGAAUGUUUUGAUGCAGCUGGCCGUCAGCUCCGACAAUAGGCUGGGUGCAGCUACGCAACGCACGAUAAUGCAUUACAUGUAAUAGUAGAUGAGUAAUUUUGUUUGAAGUGUUAGAGACAAUGGACAUUUGCAAAAGUUAGAGACUUAGAAUGAAAACAGUGGAUAGCGCAUCUACAAUUAUUAUUGUAACCAUUUAAACAAGAUGGGAAACGUUCAAAGCCGGACGACCGGCCGCGCGUCCCGUCGGUCGCGUGGGCAACGUACGAUCCGGCUUUAUCCAAUGGGUUCGUGUUGCAUCAAUGCGCACAUGUUGGUGGACCUCGGUCAGUUUUUUUAGUUAUGCAACCGCUUUUCUUCUUAUAGUUGUCUCUAAAUCUCUAUUCUAGCUAUGUCAUUUAUGUCUAUCGUUCUCUUUUGCAAUUGGGAAACAUUUCCCUUCGGUGCGCCGGCAGACUGGCGCUUGCUGUCCACG
rnacentral:lncRNA from 1 species